UAGGUCAAUGAUUCAUAAAUU
rnacentral:piRNA from 1 species